AGAUAGGGCUGUUCCGAUUUUCACGUUUCUUGUUUUGUAGUUGUGUUCAUGUUUGAGUUUUCUUAUUAAAUAACCAUGAACUAUAACCACGCCGCGUUUUGGUCCACCUCUCCUUCCCAGGAUGAAAGCCGUGACACCUGUCCUUGAAACAGGCCUUGUGUGCUGCACCAGUCCAGGUUCUGACGAUGGCACGCUGGUUUGGCAGAAUGCAAGCUCAGUGUCCUGGCCCAGCCUGGUCUCCAGCAGCUGCAGGCCUUGCUGGUAUCCCAUCGGGAGAUUGAGAUCAUCAGGCAAAGAUAAAUCUUCAACCGACCCAUUGGCCAUUGACUAACAAGAAUAAUCGGCCAUUAAGAGAGACAGAGGGAAUGGUCCAUCCGACGAUGCUGCGACUGGUCUGUCCGACGCAGCUGCAACCUUGGCAGCUGCAACAGGUCCGUCCGACGUCACUUCAGCAGCCACAACUGGCCCGUCCGAAGCCGCCACAGUCGGUCUGUCAGACACCACUGCUACUGGUCCGUCCGUCCGUCGCCGAUGCAACUUUGGCAGUGGCAACUGACCCUCUGAUGAUGACACAACUUCGGCAGCUGCACCGGGUCCUGAAAGACCCGCAUAACGAUCCUGGGAUCGUCCUCGAGGCCUGUGUCAUUGAGCUGCUAGUGCACUGCGUCGGGGUACUAUCAUGGAUCCCUCUGGAACUUUCAUUACGCACACCUGUCCCCUGUUCCCACUGAUUAAUACUUCCAUUGGGCUGUCGAUUACUGUUACAAUGUCCAUUGGUGCAUGUGUUGUGUGUUUUGGACUUUCAUGCCCUUGUGGAUUGCGCAGAUGAUUACGAGUCUCGUCCCGUGUGUUAAUCAUCGUACACGUGUGUAUUUAUUCAAGGUACUCCUCGCUGUUUUGUUUGGGUUUCAACCCUGUUUUGUUUAGUGUUUAUUUGGUCUUCUUCCCUGUGCCUUUACACGGCACGCUGUCAUUUGGGGUAUAAUUAAAAACCCUAUUAUGCAUUCCUG